AUGGAGGCCCCCGGCAGCACGCAGGGCCCCAAGGCCGACCUGAGCCAGCGCAGCCAGGAGCUGCGUGUCCUUGUGGCCCUGCAAGAGCAAGGCGGCAAGAUUUUCGCUCAGUCCUGCGAGGAGAAGCUCCGGCAGAACAGGGAGCUGCUCCCCAGCCUGCAGGCGGCCUUGCAGGAGGAUUCCAGUAUCCUGGAUUUUGUCCUGAAGGUACCAGCAGAUCCUUCCUGCUGCAUCCCUGACUGGUGCUUCCCCAGGAGCUGGGAGCACGGGCCAGCAAAAGGAUGUGUCAUUGCCAGGCUGACAGUGACCCUUUCCUUGUCCCUCCCCUGCCCACAGUACAACAAACUCCCCAUUAAGGAUGCUUUUGGAGAGGGCCAGGAGCUCAUUCCAGCCACUCAGAGUGUGGAGGUAAUGGCAGGGGCUGGGGGCAGGGGCUGCUCGCAGGGGGCUGGGGCUCUGGAGACACUGGGAAGAACAGUGCAUGGCAGAGGGACAUGGUGCCAGCACCAGGACAGCCCCAUGGGGCUGCUGUGGAGAGACACAGGGUGUUCACAUCUGGUCCCGUGGGUCCCUUUCCACCAUGGGACCCAUCCAUGCAGACCCUUUGUCCCAGCAGACCUCCUGGCUGUGCCACCCUGUGUGUCCCUGGCACUGCCCAGGUUCCUGCAGGGUCCAGUUGCAUCCCUGGCAGAGAGAGGCUGUCCCUGCCCUUCACUGCCUGUCCCAAGGUUGUGCCCUGCUUAUAAACCCGUGGAGACUGAGGAGCUGUCCCCAUGGAGCUGCCUUUGCCCAGGGGCCUCUUGCAGGGACAGAGCGGUGCCGCUGCUCUCUGACAACAUCCCCAUCUGGGCCCUGAUUGAUUUAUUGAUCCCCAGUCCUGGUCUGUGUUAUGCCCAGCCCUGCCAUCAGCAGUUGCCCACCUCUGCCUCACCCCAGCCAGCCCCCAGAGCAAAGCUCUCCCAGAUCCCAUCCUGUCAAACCAGUGACAACAUCCUGGAGCAGCGCCCCAGUGUCCCCAGCUCUACCCUGGGGGGAGUUUUCCGGGCAGCACCCCCUUCUCCUGCAGCAUCCAGCCUGGGAAAUACUCUCAUGCCCAUCCAGGCGGUCCAAAAGAAGAUCGAGGCCAAAAUCCAUGACCAGGUGAAGGUGUGUGACAUGCUGCUGCACCAGCUGAAGCAGUGGAGCCAAGCCAGGGACGAGCGCCAGAGGCACCUGCAGGAGCUGCAGGAUGCCGAGACGGAUCCCAAGUGGCAAGAGCCACAGCUGCAGACCAUUCGCCAGCUGGGCAAUGACAUCGAGAAGAUGGUCAUGAAAAUUCACAGUGGACAGAUCGUGACCAACCUGUACCUGAAGCUGCAGGAAAACCUGAGGAGGGAGCUGGUGUACCUGCCUCAGUACCUGGACAUCCUGUGUGGGAUGACUGUGAUGUACCACGAUGAGCUCACGGCCCGGAGCAACCUCAAAGCCAACGAUGUCCUCAGGGUGAGAUAACUGGGGCCCUUCCCACCCUCCAGCACCCACAGACAGCACCACGUACCUGGGCCUGAGAGCCUUCAGCAAGGAGCAAAAGACAGAGCUGAG
rnacentral:lncRNA from 13 species